CGGUAUGCUUAACACAUGCAAGUCGAACGGUAGCAGGCCUUCGGGCGCUGACGAGUGGCGGACGGGUGAGUAACGCGUAGGAAUCUGCCUCAUAGUGGGGGACAACGUGGGGAAACUCACGCUAAUACCGCGUACGCCCUACGGGGGAAAGCGGGGGAUCUUCGGACCUCGCGCUAUGAGAUGAGCCUGCGUUAGAUUAGCUAGUUGGUAGGGUAAAGGCCUACCAAGGCGACGAUCUAUAGCUGGUCUGAGAGGACGAUCAGCCACACUGGGACUGAGACACGGCCCAGACUCCUACGGGAGGCAGCAGUGGGGAAUAUUGGACAAUGGGCGAAAGCCCGAUCCAGCAAUACCGCGUGUGUGAAGAAGGCCCUAGGGUUGUAAAGCACUUUCAAUUGGGAGGAAAACCUACCGGUCAAUACCCGGUAGCUUGACAUUACCUUUAGAAGAAGCACCGGSUAAC
rnacentral:rRNA from 1 species